CAUCCUGGUAGAACUAGGGAUGACACUGCUGCAGAUCAUAGAUGUGGAUGAGAAGAACCAAGUCUUGAUGACAAAUGCCUGGUUGCAGCUUUACUGGACAGAUGUUUAUCUGAGCUGGAACCCAGAACAGUACCCGGGGGUUCAGAACCUACGCUUCC